rnacentral:rRNA from 1 species
AUGCACGUCAGGAACCAGGGGAGCUUGACUCUACAUUAUCUUGCUAAGAAAAGAGGACAGGGGAGAAGUGGGAUUUGGGGUGGAGUGCGGUGGCUCCAGGCUCCCGACGGCGGCAUGUCAUCCAGCUCGACCACACGUGCCUGCAGCUCGCCGCCGUCAUCGAUUGGAUGGCCAUGGAGUUGGGUCCACUUGAACAUGAGGGGUGGCACUCCUCUAGAAAUUUUCUCUUGGAGAGAAGGAUUUUUUGCCCCCAAGCAGCAAGGCUUCGAGGCCACCGGAGAAAAUAAGAGAUUCGUUUCACUGAGUGGCGUUGCUCUCCAGUUCGUGGCGCUGGCCUAG